UACGGGAGGCAGCAGUGGGGAAUAUUGCACAAUGGGCGCAAGCCUGAUGCAGCCAUGCCGCGUGUAUGAAGAAGGCCUUCGGGUUGUAAAGUACUUUCAGUCGUGAGGAAGGUGUUAAGGUUAAUAACCUUAGCAAUUGACGUUAGCGACAGAAGAAGCACCGGCUAACUCCGUGCCAGCAGCCGCGGUAAUACGGAGGGUGCGAGCGUUAAUCGGAAUUACUGGGCGUAAAGGGCACGCAGGCGGUUAAUUAAGUUGGAUGUGAAAUCCCCGGGCUUAACCUGGGAAUGGCAUUCAAGACUGGUUAGCUAGAGUCUUGUAGAGGGGGUAGAAUUCCAUGUGUAGCGGUGAAAUGCGUAGAGAUGUGGAGGAAUACCGGCGGCGAAGGCGGCCCCUGGGACAAAGACUGACGCUCAUGUGCGAAAGCGUGGGGAGCAAACAGGGAUUAGAUACC
rnacentral:rRNA from 1 species